rnacentral:rRNA from 1 species
ACGGGAGGCAGCAGCUAAGAAUAUUUCGCAAUGGACGAAAGUCUGACGGAGCGACGCCGCGUGGACGAUGAAGGCCGAAAGGUUGUAAAGCCCUUUUGAAUCUGACGAAUAAGUAUUGCAGGGAAUGGCAGUAUGGUGACGGUAGGAUUUGAAUAAGCAACGGCUAAUUACGUGCCAGCAGCCGCGGUAACACGUAAGUUGCGAGCGUUGUUCGGAAUUAUUGGGCGUAAAGGGCAUCUAGGCGGUAAUCCAAGCUUGGUGUGAAAUGCCGGGGCUUAACUCCGGAACUGCAUUGAGAACUAGAUUGCUAGAGUUACUGAAGUGCAACCAGAAUUCAAGGUGUAGGGGUGAAAUCUGUAGAUAUCUUGAAGAAUACCAAUGGCGAAGGCAGGUUGCAGGCAGAUAACUGACGCUGAAGUGCGAAGGUGCGGGGAGCAAACAGGAUUAGAUACCCUGGUA